rnacentral:rRNA from 1 species
AGGAUGAACGCUGGCGGUAUGCUUUACACAUGCAAGUCGAACGCAAAUUUAUUUGAGUGGCGGACGGGUGAGUAACACGUGAGAAUUCACCUUUAGGCGGGGAAUAACUUCUGGAAACGGAAGCUAAUGCCCCAUAUGCUCGCAAGAGUGAAAGGAUUUAUCCACCCAAAGAGAAGCUCGCGGCUGAUUAGCUAGUUGGUAAGGUAAUGGCUUACCAAGGCGACGAUCAGUAGCUGGUUUGAGAGAACGAUCAGCCACACUGGAACUGAGACACGGUCCAGACUCCUACGGGAGGCAGCAGUGGGGAAUUUUCCGCAAUGGGCGAAAGCCUGACGGAGCAAUACCGCGUGAGGGAUGGACGGCCUUAGGGUUGUAAACCCUUCUUUUAUCAAGGAGGAAGUUCUGACGUGUACUUGAUGAAUAGCAUCGGCUAACUCCGCGCCAGCAGCCGC